AAGAGAACCAACAGAAGAAAUUUUGAAGUUUUUGUAGGCUGUGUUUUGAAAAUCGUCACUGAGAUAUUUCUGUUUGUGCAGUGGAAUAGAAGGGAAACCUUUCCACCUUCUCACAUUGAAGGGGUUUAGUGAAGAUCUCCCAAAGCAGCACUCGCUCCCAUACAGUCAAUCCCUAUUCUGAGGAUCAAACUUGUAUUUCCUCCGUGUGCUUCAAGAAGGUGUAUUAGCGUGACUGAGUGUCAGCAUCGCUCAGCUGGAUCUGUUGAAGAUACCAGUGUUUGGGAUUUGGCCCAUGACAGUACUGAGCUGUUCUUUUUAAAUCUAAUCCUUUGUGCGUCUCCCCUGCUCAUCACGGAAAUCUGGGCUGACUUAACCGCAUACUUAUUUCAAAGUGUACAAAUCACACAAUCAGACACUGACUUUUGGAGAGCGUUUGCUACCCUGUUUACUGGGUUUUUGUUGAAGAGCCCUUGAGAUAAGUAUGAGAGGUGCAGUCACAGGUGAAAUCUCUCUUUUCUUUAGCUACCUAUAGACCACUACAAUCUAUUUUUGUUUGAAACAGCAGCAGCCCAAAAGGUGACGCUUCUGUGAAGGCUCCCUUGAGGGGGGAGGCAGCGACGGGGGACAUAAAUACUCUUCUGAUGUUUUUUAGAAAUACAGUUGUACCCAGAGAAUCACUACUUUACUCCUGUUCUGCAGCACAUAAAUACACGUCAGAUGUGUGGUAAACCAAAGCCUCUCAGGAGCUUGUCCUGAAAGAGGAAAAGACACGAUGAUUUAGAGUCUACAUCUGCAGCUCUUGCAGCCGCUUCAGUCCCCGCUGCCGGAGGAGAAUUCCCUGCAUCGACGGCCUCUUGAUGCCAGGGCUUAGAGCAGUUCCCGAAGCGAAAAUCCAAGGGAACCUAACGCUGUUGCUAACCCAUUGGAAAGGCGAGGAGGGGACAGCCACCGUGAGGCUCCAAGGAAAGCGGUUGCUCCUGCCAUUAGGUCUCCGUCUCAGGUCACCUCUACUACCACUUUGCAAGUGGAAGAGGAAUCCCCGACGACUGCGACUCUUGUCGCGUUCUCCAACGUCUGUUGAGAGCAGGAUUAGAGUAGGUAGCUUCCUAAACCAAAGGGAAGGUCAGCGUGGUAGGGCGCUGGCAUGGCACACCUUUGUACUCAGGCUUGCAGGAGCUGCUGAAGGGUGUGCUUGGCUGUGAAGGCCUGCUGGAAUGUCUCGAGUCAUAGGAAAACACAUGUGGGACAUCUCUGUAACGAGGCAGCUGAAGAUGUGAGGAUGUUCUGGAGCGAAGACUUGCACAACCCCUGUGUUUUGACGUUACCCUUCUCGUCGAGAGACGGGGAAUAUAGCGGCUCCAGCUACUGCAGCAGUGCAGUGUGACUCCUUGUAGUCUACGUGUAAAAAACCACCUUCUUAGCAAGCAUCUCGUCUCCUCAAUGAGCUAGUAACACAUCUAUGACUUCAGUAAUUAAAGUAAGUUUUUAUUGCUUUUUACUUAUCUUAGCACCGAAGAGCAAGA